UUCCGCUACCCCGAUAUACGAGAUCGUACUCUUUCGUUAGGUGGCAUCAGAUUUCCUUGUUUAAUUUAUUAGUACAGAAUUUACAAGGGAACAUGGGUAAUUGUUUCUCCGGCUCCGCUACUCGUUCCGGCACUGAAGAAGAAGAAGAAAGCCACGGACAAGAUGAAACAAGAGAUGGACAAAAAUUCGAGUGUGAAACAUGCAAAGCAGUCUUUACUAGGAGGGCUGACUUGAAGAGGCAUCAAGUUACACACUCGAUUGACAGACCAUUCGUGUGCGACAACUGUUUGGCUUGCUAUAAGCGCAAGGAUCAUCUGUACAGGCAUGACAGAAGGUGGCACCAUCCAAAGACAGCAACAGCGACCACACAAACCGAGACCCAAACCGAGGACAGCUCCAGCGAGGAGUAGAAGAUCUAGGUAUUGUGAUCAUUCCGCCCCAUAAAUUGGUCAACAGAUAUUAUAAAUAUUCAUUUUCUUCAAUCAAAGUACUGUAUGGUGGCAAUGUUGAUAUAAAUCGUCCCUGGAUGUUUACUCAUUGAUUAAAUAUAUUGAUCCGAUGUUACAUAUAUCACAAUCUCUUCGUAGACAUUUUAAUUUGUCACAACUUUAUUUUGUUUUUUAUUUAUGUAGCUUUUCAAAUGUUCCUCUUACUAUGGAGUAUUCCGUAUGUAUUCUAUUUCUCAAUAUUGAUCUAUUGUGAUAGUAGAAACAAUAUUUGGUAUUGGACAUUUAAAAGAAUAAAUAAGGAUUUACAUUGAAUUACUUUUCGUUGCAACUCCACGUUGGCAUAUUCAAAUGGUAUCUUGUGCCUUGGUGCGAAGGAGACUUUCUCACGUUUUGGAACAUAAAAAGGUUCCAAAGCAUUUAGGUUAAUUUCUUGUUCUAAUCAUAAUACUGAAAAUGUAUAUUAUUUCAUAAGUUUGAGUACUUUGAGAAAUCAUAAAGGUCCGGUCAUUGUACAACUUUUGUUAAAGAUGUAUUCUUAUUUUUCCGACGUGAUUCCGCCUCAAGCUUCAUUGCUUGUUUUUUUAGGUUUUGAUAUUUUGUAGCUUUUAAGAUUAGAUUUAAAUAUGGAGUCAAAUUAUUUUUGUGACUUGGAUUGUUUAUUGGUGUUCACUACAUCCAUUCCGUACUGCUGGUGCUCGCUUUCUAUGCGAUUAUAUUUUUUUGUAUUGUAUUUCUAUUGUUUUUUGAACAACGACGUUAACAAUAUUCACCUCAAAUUUAGAAUCCUUUUUUUAUUUUUCUCAUUGAAUGAAAUUUUUAGUCCCUUUUCAGAAUCACCGAUUUGAUGCGGAAGAAAAAAUAUAUAUUGAAGUGUAAGAAUGUUGGUAAUUUUUUCUAUGGUUGGGAAAGAGUAUAAAAACAUUACUUGAAAGACAUCAAGCUCUCGAGUACCUGAAUUUUGUGCCUGUAAACUUCGUGUAGUAAAAGAUAUCUUAGAUAAGUAGGUAUGUUUACAGUGUAUUACCGAUAUAACUUCUCGUUUUUGAUACCGUGAAUGCCAGUUAAAUGGGGGCCUUUUGUAUGAUUUGACUAAUUUGCCGUAUUAAAGCAUACUUUGA